rnacentral:rRNA from 1 species
UACAUGGGGUGCAAACGUUGCUCGGAAUUAUUGGGCGUAAAGCGCACGUAGGCGGUUUGUUAAGUCGGAUGUGAAAUCCCUCGGCUCAACUGAGGAAGUGCAUCCGAAACUGGCAGGCUUGAGUACUAAAGAGGGUCGCGGAAUUCCCGGUGUAGAGGUGAAAUUCGUAGAUAUCGGGAGGAACACCGGUGGCGAAGGCGGCCAUCUGGGAGGUUACUGACGCUGAGACGCGAAAGCGUGGGGAGCAAACAGG